rnacentral:rRNA from 1 species
GUGAACGCUGGCGGUAGGCCUAACCCCUGCCAGUCGAACGGCAGCACAGUAAGAGCUUGCUCUUACGGGUGGCGAGUGGCGGACGGGUGAGGAAUACAUCGGAAUCUACUUUUUCGUGGGGGAUAACGUAGGGAAACUUACGCUAAUACCGCAUACGACCUACGGGUGAAAGCAGGGGAUCUUCGGACCUUGCGCGAUUGAAUGAGCCGAUGUCGGAUUAGCUAGUUGGCGGGGUAAAGGCCCACCAAGGCGACGAUCCGUAGCUGGUCUGAGAGGAUGAUCAGCCACACUGGAACUGAGACACGGUCCAGACUCCUACGGGAGGCAGCAGUGGGGAAUAUUGGACAAAGGGCGCAAGCCUGAUCCAGCCAUACCGCGUGGGUGAAGAAGGCCUUCGGGUUGUAAAGCCCUUUUGUUGGGAAAGAAAAGCAGCAGGUUAAUACCCCGCUGUUCUGACGGUACCCAAAGAAUAAGCACCGGCUAACUUCGUG